UCAGCGGCGCUUCUUAGCAGAGGAAGCUGUUUGGGGGGAAAAAGGGCCAGAGAAGCAGGAAGGCUCCUCAAGCUUGGAUGGAGUGGGGCUUGGCACUAGAUUUGCUUAAAGUCCAGCCACUUCAGCCUCUCCCUUCGGUUUGUCUCCUAGGGGUUCCCUGUACGUACCCCUUUCCCUCCAGCACUGGAGCCCAGGUCUGCCGCUGAGCAGGCACCUCUCCCUCCACGCCCAGGCUCCUUAAACCAACCCCUCCUCCCCUUGUCAUUCAUGAACCAGAUGCAGAAACUGAGGCUCAGAAGCGUUCGGCCACGUGCAUGCAUUGCCUUUCCCAUUGGUGCUCCAUCGCCAGUAAUGGAUAAGUAAUAAGUAAUAAGCCAGCUACAGUGAAGGUUCUUCUGGAGGCCAGUGACAGAAGCCAACUCAGCCAAAAGUGGAAUCCAAGGCCGGGCACGGUGGCUCACGCCUGUAAUCCUAGCACUUUGGGAGGCCGAAGUGGGCGUAUUACCUGAGCUCAAGAGUUCAAGACCAGCCUGAGCAACACGGCGAAAACCCGUCUCUACUAAAAUACAAAAAAUUAGCCGGGCGUGGCGGCAUGCGCCUGUAGUCCCAGCUGCCUCGCCUGUAGUCCCAGCUACUUGGGAGGCUGAGGCAGAAGUGCUUGAACCCGGGAGGCGGAGCUUGCAGUGAGCCAACAUUGCGCUACUGCUCUCCAGCCUGGGCGACAGAGCGAGACUCCACCUCCAAAAAAAAAAAAAGUGGAAUCCAGUGGGAGGGUGCCAGAGUGCGUCACAGUACAAAGGGAAAUUGAAGAGCCAAGGCCCAGGAAGGGCAGGGACCAGGGCAGUCCUGUGGAUGCUAACAGCGGGGGUUCAUGGGCUCUCACUGUGGAGCACAGCUAAACUUGGUACCAGAGACUUGUCUCUGCUCCAAUUUCCUGGCAGACAGAAUCUAAUUGGCUCAGCCGUGUCAGGUGCCCAUCCCUGGUCCAAUCAGCAAUGGCGGGGUAGGGGUGGACUCCCAGCCAUGAUGGCGUAGGGGUGGGGCAGGUCCUAGGGCAGUUAACACAGCUGAGGGCCAAGAAACUCACUAGGAGGAUAGCUACUCAAGGAAGAGGUUUGUUCUGUGUAGAAAAAAAGGAUCUGAGAUAUUAGGGAGGUCCAAGAGCCCAUGACACCCCCCUCCCUUUUCUAGGAUCUUCCUGAGAUUCUGAGAACCACUCACUAAUUUAAGAACCUUAGCUCUCGGCCGGCCGUGCUGGCUCACGCCUGUAAUCCCAGCACUUUGGGAGGCCGAGGUGGGAGGAUCACCUGAGGUCAGGAGUUUGAGAUCAGCCUGGCCAACGUGGUGAAACUCCGUCUCCACUAAAAAUACAAAAUUAGCCGGGCGUGGUGGCGCAUGCCUGUAGUCCCAGCUACUCGGGAGGCUGAGGCAGGAGAAUCGCUUGAACCCGGGAAGCAGAGGUUGCGGUGAGCUGAGACCACGCCAUUGCACUCCAGCCUGGGCAACAAGAGCGAAACUCUGUCUCAAAAAACAAAAAGAAAAAAAAAAAAGAAAAAGAAAAAGAACCUUUCCUCUCACCUAUUCUUCCCCUGUGAAUAUCCUUCCCAGAUUCUGGCACCCACUUAUGGGCUUCAAAGUCACUUAAAAUGUGGUUCAAAGACCACUUGUUUUAGAAUCACCUGGGAAGUAUGUUAAAAAUACUUGUUCCAGGCCUGGUGCCAUGACUCACGCCUGCAAUCCCAGCACUUUGGGAGGCCAAGGCAGGUGGAUCGCUUGAGCUCAGAAGUUCGAGACCAGCCUGGGCAACAUGGCAAAACCCUAUCACUACAAAAAAUACGAAAAAAUUAGCCAGGCGUGAUGGCAAGCGCCUGUGAUCCCAGCUACUUGCAGGGCUGAGGCGAGAGGAUCACCUGAGCCCAGGAGGUCGAGGCUGCAGUGAGCCAUGUUUGCACCACUGCACUCCAGCCUGGAUGACAGACUGAGACCCUGUCUCCCAAAAAAAAAAAAAAAAAAAAUUAGCCAGGCAUGCCUGUAAUCCCAGCUAUUUGGGAGGGUGAGGCAAGAGAAUCGCUUGAACCCAGGAAGCAGAGGUUGCAGUGAGCCGAGAUCACGCCACUGCAUUCCAGCCUGGGCAACAGAGCUAGACUCCGUCUCAAAACAAAGAAAAAAACAGGUUCUAGACAUCGGGCCUAGGAAUCUAUAUUUAAACCUGCUCUAUAAGCGAUCCAGAUGCACAGCAAAGGUUGAGAAGUGUUUCAGAUGUAGCUUCAUCUCAGCUCCCAAAGUGCCACAAAUUGCACAAAGUGCUGGUGCUCACUGGAAGGCCACAUCCUCGCCCCCAAUCCUCUCCACCAUGCCCUGACCAUCUCCUUGAUCUUGUCCCAGCACUGUCUAGCGAGACCUCAAGUCCCUCUCCUAGCAGGAGCCUGGGCCCCUGGGAUAGGCAAUUUUUGCUCUAACCCUACUCCUGAUACCAUCUUUUUUUUCCUCUCCUUUCUUUUUCUUUCUGUUCUGAUUCUCACCAACGUUCAUUUUUAAUUUUAUCAUUUAAAAAUCUUUUAUAGUUAUGUAAACAACCUCAAACUUUUUUCCGGAGCUAGGUGAUGAAUAACCAAAUAGGGGAAGGAAUUUCAAUUGCCCCUAAUCCUAUAUUAGUCCCUGUGCAGAUGGGCCUAAUGAGUACUGCACCAGGAUUUCUAAUUAUCCUUAAUGAGCUCCUAAAAUUCAUGGGGCAUGAUAGAAUGAGGUUGAUUGUUAAUCAAAUGGCCCAAUGAAUCAAGCCUCCUGGUAUCUACGCCCUUGGAUAGGCCCCUCCCAUGGUGACUCUGGGAUUGGCCACGUGACUUGCUUUGGCUAGUGGGACAUCAGUGACUAUGACACAGAGGCCAGAUAAGUGCUUGUGAUUUGGGGCUUACUCUGUUAGCACUGUCCUGGAACCACCAUGUGAGGAAACCUAGGCUACAUGGUCAUCCUUGAGGAUGAAAGAUCUUAUGAAGAGUGAGGCUUAACCAUCCCCACCAUCCCAGCUGAACCUAGCCCACAGCCAUUCUUCCAGCUGAACGUAGCUGCACAAGUAAGCCCUGGAAAAAUCAGCAGAAGAAUGCAGCCAACCCACAUUUUCAUGAGAAAUUAAAAAAAUUACUGUUUUAAGCCUAAGUCUUGGGUGGUUUGUUAUGCAGCAACAGCGAACUGAUACAAUGGGUCGCAGUAACACUCACAGGACAGUAUUUCUGUGCUGCUAUUUCCACUUGAUAUUCUGGAGCUUCAUGUAGAUCUGUUGCAGUGAAGCAAUAAAACAAUACAGUGGCUUAAACAA